UACGUAGGGGGCAAGCGUUGUCCGGAUUUAUUGGGCGUAAAGAGCGUGUAGGCGGCUUUACAGGUCCGUUGUGAAAACUCGAGGCUCAACCUCGAGACGCCGGUGGAAACCGUAAAGCUAGAGUCCGGAAGAGGAGAGUGGAAUUCCUGGUGUAGCGGUGAAAUGCGCAGAUAUCAGGAGGAACACCGGUGGCGAAGGCGGCUUCCUGGACCGACACUGACGCUGAGGCGCGAAAGCUAGGGGAGCAAACGGG
rnacentral:rRNA from 1 species